GAUGAAGAACGUAGCGAAAUGCGAUAACUAAUGUGAAUUGCAGAAUUCAGUGAAUCAUCGAAUCUUUGAACGCACAUUGCGCCCCUUGGUAUUCCGAGGGGCAUGCCUGUUCGAGCGUCAUUAUCACCCCUCAAGCUUUGCUUGGUGUUGGGGCCUGCUGUAAUAGGCAGCCCUUAAAAUCAGUGGCGGUGCUUCAAGGCUCUAAGCGUAGUAAUUCUCCUCGCUAUAGUGUCUAGUGGUUGCCAGCCAGAACCCCCCAUUUUUUAUGAUUGACCUCGGAUCAGGUAGGGAUACCCGCUGAACUUAAGCAUAUCAAUAAGCGGAGGA
rnacentral:misc_RNA from 1 species